GGAUUAAGAGAAGUAGGAC
rnacentral:miRNA from 1 species